UACGUAGGGUGCGAGCGUUGUCCGGAAUUAUUGGGCGUAAAGAGCUUGUAGGCGGUUUGUCGCGUCUGCUGUGAAAAUCCGGGGCUCAACCCCGGACUUGCAGUGGGUACGGGCAGACUAGAGUGUGGUAGGGGAGACUGGAAUUCCUGGUGUAGCGGUGAAAUGCGCAGAUAUCAGGAGGAACACCGGUGGCGAAGGCGGGUCUCUGGGCAGUUACUGACGCUGAGGAGCGAAAGCGUGGGGGAGCGAACAGG
rnacentral:rRNA from 1 species